AGGCCAAGAAAGCGAGGAAACACAAGAAAUGUAACAAAAAAAAAUCUUAACAGCUUUUCGCACAAAGAGUUCCGAGACAAUAUCAUGCGACCCAUAGAGAGGUUUUCUUUCUUAUUGCUGGUUUCUGGUUCUGCAACCCCCUUUUUCCUUUUCACAACUCAUUAUUUGUCAGCCAAAAUCACAUAACUCUACAAAUUACCAUUUUAAUGUAGUCAAAG
rnacentral:lncRNA from 1 species